rnacentral:rRNA from 1 species
GACCGUCGUGGCCGCAGUAGGAGCCGACGCUCGCUGUAUGGAGGAAGUGGGGUCGCGGAGUUUGAGCGGGGGAAGGACGUUCAACGCUUCCGGCGACUGUCCCGCAAGUAGGUGGAAGCUGGAGUGUUGGCUAGACUGGCGGGGCCUACAGCAACGGCGGGCCGGUCUAGCGGUACCGUGAGCUGCGGUGGUUGUGGACGUGUGAAGUCAUCCUGGACUGCCGACUGCGGUGUGCCUAGACCGACAGUGCUUGUGGCGGUGGCGGUGUGGCAGAAAGAGCGGUCAGGUCUAGGUGAAAAGGGAAUAGAGUCAGCACCAUGCCCACGGUCAGCGUCGUGUCUUGAUACUCCGUAACUGCUAGGUCGGCGACAGAACAAAAAAACAGAGAAGUCCUACUUGUUAUUACGCCGUGAGGGAGGUAGCCCUAGGUUGUUGUGUGCUAUCAACGCUGAGGCAGAAGGAGGAGUUGGUACAACAAGGUUUUAAAACCUAACAAUGUUAGGUGUGGCAUGUGCUAAAACAUAAAAACGCACACACGGUUUCACGAUGUAUCCGCUGUUCAAACAAGGGACACACUAAUGGGGAGUAGUCGGUUAGCUACUAACAAAACGUCCACCUCAUCGCGAGUACGGUCUUAGCUCGUAAUAGACUUUGUCAACAGUAAGAGAGAUCUACGAUUAUCCUAUUAUACGUUCAGUGGAAACUUCUUUUAGCGCUACCUGUUUCUUCGCAAUGUUGUUGAAAUCAGCGGAAGUUGUUUAAUCCUCUUCUCUGCUGGUUUUUUACAAGGAAGGAAACUACUUCUGCCUUCGAUAUGUUUAUACAAACCCCCGGUUCUGUUGAGUAAACAAUUAAAUCAGGAAUUACGGCUACUAUGAACAAAGUAGUUCAAAGAUACAUUGAGCACAAUAAAGCCGGAUACAUCAUACACUCGAUACUAAGACAAAAAUUAUUUUUAAUACUACCACUAGACACGACACUUUAUCCGCUCUAAUUAACGGACG